CCUGGCUCAGGACGAACGCUGGCGGCGCGCCUAACACAUGCAAGUCGAACGAGCGAGAGAGAGCUUGCUUUCUCGAGCGAGUGGCGAACGGGUGAGUAACGCGUGAGGAACCUGCCUCAAAGAGGGGGACAACAGUUGGAAACGACUGCUAAUACCGCAUAAGCCCACGGGUCGGCAUCGACCAGAGGGAAAAGGAGCAAUCCGCUUUGAGAUGGCCUCGCGUCCGAUUAGCUAGUUGGUGAGGUAAUGGCCCACCAAGGCGACGAUCGGUAGCCGGACUGAGAGGUUGAACGGCCACAUUGGGACUGAGACACGGCCCAGACUCCUACGGGAGGCAGCAGUGGGGAAUAUUGCACAAUGGGGGAAACCCUGAUGCAGCGACGCCGCGUGGAGGAAGAAGGUCUUCGGAUUGUAAACUCCUGUUGUUGAGGAAGAUAAUGACGGUACUCAACAAGGAAGUGACGGCUAACUACGUGCCAGCAGCCGCGGUAAAACGUAGGUCACAAGCGUUGUCCGGAAUUACUGGGUGUAAAGGGAGCGCAGGCGGGAAGACAAGUUGGAAGUGAAAUCUAUGGGCUCAACCCAUAAACUGCUUUCAAAACUGUUUUUCUUGAGUAGUGCAGAGGUAGGCGGAAUUCCCGGUGUAGCGGUGGAAUGCGUAGAUAUCGGGAGGAACACCAGUGGCGAAGGCGGCCUACUGGGCACCAACUGACGCUGAGGCUCGAAAGUGUGGGUAGCAAACAGGAAUAGAUACCCUGUUAGUCCACACCGUAAACGAUGAUUACUAGGUGUUGGAGGAUUGACCCCUCAGUGCCGCAGUUAACACCAUAAUAUAUCCACCUGGGGAGUACGACCGCAAGGUUGAAACUCAAAGAAUUGACGGGGGCCCGCACAAGCAGUGGAGUAUGUGGUUUAAUUCGACGCAACGCGAAGAACCUUACCAAGUCUUGACAUCCUGCGACGAUGCUGGAAACAGUAUUUCCUUCGGGACGCAGAGACAGGUGGUGCAUGGUUGUCGUCAGCUCGUGUCGUGAGAUGUCGGAAUGAGUCCCGCAACGAGCGCAACCCUUACUGUCAGUUACUACGCAAGAGGACUCUGGCAGGACUGCCGUUGACAAAACGGAGGAAGGUGGGGAUGACGUCAAAUCAUCAUGCCCUUUAUGACUUGGGCUACACACGUACUACAAUGGCGUUAAACAAAGAGAAGCAAGACCGCGAGGUGGAGCAAAACUCAGAAACAACGUCCCAGUUCGGACUGCAGGCUGCAACUCGCCUGCACGAAGUCGGAAUUGCUAGUAAUCGUGGAUCAGCAUGCCACGGUGAAUACGUUCCCGGGCCUUGUACACACCGCC
rnacentral:rRNA from 1 species